CGCUAUCAUCCUACGGGAGGCAGCAGUGGGGAAUAUUGCACAAUGGGCGCAAGCCUGAUGCAGCCAUGCCGCGUGUAUGAAGAAGGCCUUCGGGUUGUAAAGUACUUUCAGCAGUGAGGAAGGCGGGUGUGUUAAUAGCGCAUUCGUUUGACGUUAGCUGCAGAAGAAGCACCGGCUAACUCCGUGCCAGCAGCCGCGGUAAUACGGAGGGUGCGAGCGUUAAUCGGAAUUACUGGGCGUAAAGCGCAUGCAGGUGGUUUGUUAAGUCAGAUGUGAAAGCCCGGGGCUCAACCUCGGAAUUGCAUUUGAAACUGGCAGACUAGAGUACUGUAGAGGGGGUAGAAUUUCAGGUGUAGCGGUGAAAUGCGUAGAGAUCUGAAGGAAUACCGGUGGCGAAGGCGGCCCCCUGGACAGAUACUGACACUCAGAUGCGAAAGCGUGGGGAGCAAACAGGAUUAGAUACCCUGGUAG
rnacentral:rRNA from 1 species